GAAAGUAAUCUGACUUCCACAUCUGUCGCAUCAUUACUCUGUAGCGAAGGUUCAUUGGAUCAUAGUGGCUCAGUAGGCAAGUGUGGUCUUCAUUUCUCACUGCUUCAAAUGUGUCCCUAAUAUAAAUGCAUGCAUCAUCAAAGACAAUGACACUUCCCAAUAGAGGAGGACCAAUCUCUCCCGCUCAAACCUCCAAACAACCUCAAUCUAUGGUUUUGAUUAAAAGAAAAUGAUUUCAUACCCAAAUUUUAUUU
rnacentral:sRNA from 1 species